GACGUAGGGCGCGAGCGUUGUCCGGAUUUAUUGGGCGUAAAGAGCUCGUAGGCGGCUUGUCGCGUCGACUGUGAAAACCCGUGGCUCAACCAUGUGGUCUGCAGUCGAUACGGGCAGGCUAGAAUUCGGUAGGGGAGACUGGAAUUCCUGGUGUAGCGGUGAAAUGCGCAGAUAUCAGGAGGAACACCGGUGGCGAAGGCGGGUCUCUGGGCCUGUACUGACGCUGAGGAGCGAAAGCGUGGGGAGCGAACAGG
rnacentral:rRNA from 1 species